UAAAUGACUCUCGGCAACGGAUAUCUCGGCUCACGCAUCGAUGAAGAACGUAGCAAAAUGCGAUACUUGGUGUGAAUUGCAGAAUCCCGUGAACCAUCGAGUUUUUGAACGCAAGUUGCGCCCGAAGCCAUUUGGUUAAGGGCACGUCUGCUUGGGCGUCACGC
rnacentral:rRNA from 4 species